GAUGAACGCUGGCGGCGUGCCUAAUACAUGCAAGUCGAGCGAACAGACGAGGAGCUUGCUCCUCUGACGUUAGCGGCGGACGGGUGAGUAACACGUGGAUAACCUACCUAUAAGACUGGGAUAACUUCGGGAAACCGGAGCUAAUACCGGAUAAUAUAUUGAACCGCAUGGUUCAAUAGUGAAAGACGGUUUUGCUGUCACUUAUAGAUGGAUCCGCGCGGCAUUAGCUGGUUGGUAGGGUAACGGCUUACCAAGGCAACGAUGCGUAGCCGACCUGAGGGGGGGAUGGGCCACAGUGGAGCUGAGACACGGUCCAGAGUCCUACGGGAGGCAGCAGUAGGGAAUCGAGCGAAAUGGGCGAAAGCCUGACGGAGCAGCGCAGCGUGGGUGAUGAAGGUCUGCGGAUCGUAAAACUCUGUUAUUAGGGAAGAACAAAUGUGUAAGUAACUAUGCGCGUCUGAACGGUACCUAAACAGAAGGCCACGGCUAACUACGU
rnacentral:rRNA from 1 species